CAUAUAAUUAUCUUAGUCAUAUCCAUCAUCCUAGUAAGCCACAUUCGUAUGCACAGCUGGAGUUCUCGGACGCAGUAACAUUCCCCAGCGGAUCUUCAGAUGGAUGCCAUGGAUCUCUAGCCAUUAAUUGUGCGAAGAGUUUCCUAAUAUCGCACUGGUCAUCUGCUUGACCAACCCUAAGUUGCUCUUCCACUUAAUGUGGUUUUUAUUUAAAUGUGCUUGCUGAACAAAAGAAGCAGCAGCAGCAGCAGCAGCAGCAAUUUGGUUGCACUCAACUGGCGGCGAAUUCUUAGCAACAAUUUGCUGCUCCAAUUAAAUUCCCAACUACGAACUCGGAGGCUUCUUCUGGUUGCGGCCAAGUGUCAGUACAUUAAUCAUGAGGUGAUUUAUGGCGCCCACGCCAUCGACGCAUGUGCUCACGUUUUUCUCGCUGCCAGCAGCAACAUCAGCGCGUGUGGGCAGCCCACCGCCACCCACCCACUCCCACUGCCACCACCACCUCCUCCGAUUCCCCCGGAAAACACCUGGCCCCAACGCAUGCAUUGUUAUGCUCCGUUAGCCGUUUUAGAAGCGUGUGGCAACUAAACGAUGUGGCAAGAGUCGACCAAAUUGCUGCCGUGGGCGUAGGAGCUGCAACAUCAGUAAUAGCAGCCACGGCAGCAGCAUCAGUAGCAUCCCCUUCCGAAAACUUCCUCGACCAGGUGUCAAAAGCCAGCCAUAACUAAGAUGAGGAAUACAACAUCCACAAUCCGCAGUCCAAAUGCCCAUUGGUGCCAGGCGAUCCGAUGAGUUUAUUAAGCU
ensembl:ncRNA lncRNA:CR44640 long non-coding RNA:CR44640